rnacentral:lncRNA from 1 species
UUAGUUAUUAUACUCCAGUUAGGCAACAAAAAACUGGCUAUUCUAUCUGUAUUUUUUUGUUUAACCUUUGUCUCUAAAAGACCAACAAGGUCAAAUUUAUUGAUUCUAAAGUAUUCUUUAGCUUCCUUCUAUUUGUACCUUUUAUUUACACCCCUUAUAUUCCAAAAUAACCACUUCAUUGGCCAUAGCUGGUUCCCCCUUCAUCUA